GAUGAACGCUGGCGGCGUGCCUAAUACAUGCAAGUCGAGCGAACGGACGAGAAGCUUGCUUCGCUGAUGUUAGCGGCGGACGGGUGAGUAACACGUGGAUAACCUACCUAUAAGACUGGGAUAACUUCGGGAAACCGUAGCUAAUACCGGAGAAUAUUUUGAACCGCAUGGUUCAAAAGUGAAAGACGGUCUUGCUGUCACUUAUAGAUGGAUCCGCGCUGCAUUAGCUAGUUGGUAAGGUAACGGCUUACCAAGGCAACGAUGCGUAGCCGACCUGAGAGGGCGAUCGGCCACACUGGAACUGAGACACGGUCCAGACUCCUACGGGAGGCAGCAGUAGGGAAUCUUCCGCAAUGGGCGAAAGCCUGACGGAGCAACGCCGCGUGAGUGAUGAAGGUCUUCGGAUCGUAAAACUCUGUUAUUAGGGAAGAACAUAUGUGUAAGUAACUGUGCACAUCUUGACGGUACCUAAUCAGAAAGCCACGGCUAACUACGUG
rnacentral:rRNA from 1 species